AUUGAACGCUGGCGGCAGGCCUAACACAUGCAAGUCGCACGAGUGGCGGACGGGUGAGUAAUGACUGGGAAACUGCCUGAUGGAGGGGGAUAACGACUGGAAACUGUCGCUAAUAACGAAUACCAUAAGAUGUGCCCAAAUGGGAUUAGGUUGUUGGUGGGGUAACGCCCUACCAAGGCGACGUUCCCUAGCUGGUCUGAGAGGAUGACCAGCCACACUCGAAAUGAGACCAGGUCCAGACCCCGACGGGGGGCAGCAGUGGGGAAUAUUGGACAAUGGGAGGAAGCCUGAUGCAGCCAUUCCGCGGUGAUGAAGAAGGCCUUCGGGGUGUAAAGUACUUUCAGCGGGGAGGCGUUACCCGCAGAAGAAGCACCGGCUAACUUCGUGCCAGCAGCCGCGGUAAUUC
rnacentral:rRNA from 1 species